rnacentral:rRNA from 1 species
AUUGAACGCUGGCGGCAGGCUUAACACAUGCAAGUCGAACGAGUGGCGGACGGGUGAGUAAUGCUUGGGAAUCUGCCUUAUGGAGGGGGAUAACGACUGGAAACGGUCGCUAAUACCGCAUACCAUACGAUGUGCCCAAGUGGGAUUAGGUAGUUGGUGGGGUAAUGGCCUACCAAGGCGACGAUCCCUAGCUGGUCUGAAAGGAUGACCAGCCACACUGGAACGGAGACACGGUCCAGACUCCUACGGGAGGCAGCAGUGGGGAAUAUUGCGCAAUGGGGGCAACCUGACGCAGCCAUGCCGCGUGAAUGAAGAAGGCCUUCGGGUUGUAAAGUUCUUUCGGUGACGAGGCGUUAAUCACAGAAGAAGCACCGGCUAACUCCGUGCCAGCAGCCGCGGUAAUUC